rnacentral:rRNA from 1 species
AGGGGAGCUUACACAUGCAAGUCGAACGUGAGGAUGCAGCAAUGUAUCUGAAAGUGGCGGACGGGUGAGUAACACGUGGGUGACCUGCCUUGUAGUGGAGGAUAACCAUGGGAAACUGUGGCUAAUACCGCAUGGUCUUGAUAGGAGUGGAUUCUAUCAGGUAAAGCUUUAGUGCUACGAGAGGGGCCUGCGGUCGAUUAGGUAGUUGGUGAGGUAAUGGCUCACCAAGCCGAUGAUCGAUAGCUGGUCUGAGAGGACGAUCAGCCACACGGGAACUGAGAGACGGUCCCGACUCCUACGGGGGGCAGCAGUGAGGAAUAUUGGGCAAUGGGCGCAAGCCUGACCCAGCAACGCCGCGUGGAGGAAGACGGCCUUCGGGUUGUAAACUCCUUUUACGGGGGAAGAGGAAGGACGGUACCCCGAGAAUAAGUCACGGCUAACUACGUGCCAGCAGCCGCGGUAAUACGUAGGUGACAAGCGUUAUCCGGAAUUACUGGGCGUAAAGCGCACGCAGGCGGCGCAUUAAGUCUGAUGUGAAAUCUCCCGGCUUAACUGGGAGGGGUCAUUGGAAACUGAUGUGCUUGAGGCGGUGAGAGGGGUGUAGAAUUCCCGGUGUAGUGGUGGAAUGCGUAGAUAUCGGGAGGAAUACCAGUGGCGAAGGCAAUCCCCUGGGCCUGCACUGACGCUCAUGCACGAAAGCGUGGGGGAGCAAACAGGAUUAGAUACCCUGGUAGUCCACGCCCUAAACGAUGUCAACUGGUUGUUGGGUCUUCACUGACUCAGUAACGAAGCUAACGCGUGAAGUUGACCGCCUGGGGAGUACGGCCGCAAGGUUAAAACUCAAAGGAAUUGACGGGGACCCGCACAAGUGGUGGGAGCG